CUCAUCUUCUAAAAAUCUUUCCAAAGUAGUAAAACAUUAGUUAAGUGUAUGCUGUAUUUUAACAUUAACAUACACAGUAAGUAGUACAUGACAGAACUUGCACAAGUAUAAGGCAGUGGGAGACUGUGACAGUCCCUGCUACAAUGUCUCUUCAAGCAGUGACAGAUAAGGUGUGGCAGGCUUCCAUUAAGUAAUGAAAGGUUUGCGGAUAACACAAUCUGCCAUCUAAUAUGCCCUUUCGCCAAUAUAUUUUUAUCCACAUUUAUUUGGAAUAUGAACAAAUAAAAACCACCCAACAGACACAUCAUUCCAGUAAUACAUUUUAUUUUGAAUUAAAGUCCUUGGUCAGGGAUAGGCAACCUUCGGCACUCCGGAUGUUGUGGACUACAUCCCCCAUAAUGCUCUUACACCCAUAAUGCUGGCAAAGCAUCAUGGGAGGUGUAGUCC